rnacentral:misc_RNA from 1 species
UUUCAGUAGGUGAACCUGCGGAAGGAUCAUUAUUGUAUAACCGAGGUGCGAGGGCUGUCGCUGACCCGAAAGGUCGUGCACGCCCGAGUGCCCUCACACACAUCCAUCUCACCCCUAUGUGCACCACCGCGUGGGUCCCCCUUUGGCUUGUUCGGAGGGGGGCUUACGUUUUCACACAAACUUUGUAUGCAGUGUAGAAUGUAUUUUUUGUUUUUGCGAUCACGCAAUCAAUACAACUUUCAACAACGGAUCUCUUGGCUCUC